GAUGAACGCUGGCGGCGUGCCUAAUACAUGCAAGUCGAGCGAACAGAUGAGGAGCUUGCUCCUCUGACGUUAGCGGCGGACGGGUGAGUAACACGUGGAUAACCUACCUAUAAGACUGGGAUAACUUCGGGAAACCGGAGCUAAUACCGGAUAAUAUAUUGAACCGCAUGGUUCAAUAGUGAAAGACGGUUUUGCUGUCACUUAUAGAUGGAUCCGCGCCGCAUUAGCUAGUUGGUAAGGUAACGGCUUACCAAGGCAACGAUGCGUAGCCGACCUGAGAGGGUGAUCGGCCACACUGGAACUGAGAAACGGUCCAGACUCCUACGGGAGGCAGCAGUAGGGAAUCUUCCGCAAUGGGCGAAAGCCUGACGGAGCAACGCCGCGUGAGUGAUGAAGGUCUUCGGAUCGUAAAACUCUGUUAUUAGGGAAGAACAAAUGUGUAAGUAACGAUGACCGUCUUGACGGUACCAAACCAGAAAGCCACGGCUAACUACGU
rnacentral:rRNA from 1 species